rnacentral:lncRNA from 1 species
GCCGGCCUGGCUUGGCUGGCAUCCCUGUGAGGCACCGUGCAUGUCCACCACCGGGUGGCCAGGCAGGUGGGCACAAGGCCUCUAGUCCAGAAGAAUCAGGUGAGAGGGUCUCGAUGGCACCCUCCAGCCUCCACGUUCCUGGUUUUAACACUGAGUUAGGGAGGACUCAAGGACCCUUGGGGAAGUGCACUCCCGGGAGGCCUCUGCAGCAGCAGCAGGGCAUCCGUGGUUUGGGGAAACACGCGCUGAGAGGUGUAGAAGGUGCGUGGCUAGGGGUGAACUCCCGUCCAGAGGCCGUGGUGUACGCGGCUUCCUCUCCGAGGGUCCUGGGGGGAGGUGUGGAACCAGAGAAAGCUAAAGACGCAGAGGCCAAAGCAAUGGCAGCGCUGCAGGAGGGGAUCUGGCGAAGGCUGUCGGACGGACGUUCCUCCUGCUGUCCCGGCAAACCUCUGCAAGUGCAGGCUUCCACGGCGUGGUUGUUCACGGCUGUUCGAUUGGCGAAGUCAGUUUGAGAUGGCGUGCAGAGAAACAGCGGGAAAUCCGCACUUACCCUCCGGCCCUGGACCCAGCCAGAGCUCCCGCACCCCGGACUUGGACUUGGCGGGCUGAUCAUCGCGGCGUCUUUUGUUCUGCCAAGGGUCUUGGCGAUGGGAGAGGCGACUCGGCAGAGGGGACUCAGCAAGAGCUUGCCGGAGUACUCUGACGGCCUUCGCGUGCAGUCAUCCGCCCCAGGACCGAGGCAGCUGACACCACGAGAUCCUCAGGAGCAUCACCUCUGCUCUGCGCUUUACCCAGACUUGCUCGGCUGGGAUUGUACACCCUGUGGCGCUUGCAGACUGGUGUGGCUCACUUGACCACAUGCAUUUCCACUCCCUCUAUCAUGCACAUGUGCAUAUGUGUGUGUGUACACGUGUGUGCCUACCUCAUGGCUCAGCCCUUUUUAUCACUGAGUAAUCUUCCAUUGUGUGGCCGUACCACAUUUUAUUUAUCCACUCACCCGCAGAAGGACACUUGGUUGCUUCAGUUUGGGUGAUUGUUGUGAAGGUGCUACAAACGCUUGCAGCAGGGUCUGGUGUGGAUGCAGCUGCAACUCAGUCAGGUGAACGCCCAGGCGUGUGAUCGCUGGAAGAGAGUGAGGCUGCAGGGCGGUGAGAAGCUGCUGGGCUGACGCGCAGUGCGCUGCGUGGCUCUGUGCGGCUCAUCCGUGCUCUACUCUGUGUGCCCUGACGGCCUGUGGCAGUGAACAAGUCUCCCCGUGCCUAUUUGCUGUCUGGGAUUCUCAUUUGGUAAGGGGUCUGUUCAGAUCUUUUGCUCGUUUCUAAAAUCAGGUGUUUUCAUUUUCUUUUUGUCAAGUUUUCCGAGUUCUUUGUGUACCUGGAUAAGUCCUUUAUCAGAUAUAUUUUAGGGUUAUUUCCUCUCAGUCUGUAGCUUGCUUUCCUAUUCUUAAGAUCUUAUUAUUCUUUAUGUCUAGUUGUUCGAUCUAUUGUUAAUAUCAGGUAUUAAAAUCUCCAACUAUGAUCAUGCAAUUGUCUGUUUACCCCUUUAAUUCUGUCAAGAUUUACUUUACCUACUUUGGAAUGCCGUUAUCAGGGAAUACGCAUUUAUGAUCGUGUGUGCUCCUCAGUAGUUGCUUGCUGUCUAGUGAAGGGUCUCCUGGUUAUUUUAAUCCCCGGUCCUGAAGUCCACCGAGGUCAACACAGCAGGACAUGAGCCCCUGGGCUGAGUGCUGGUGUGACACAGCUUCUGUUGCCCCGUUUCCAGCCUCCCUGGGUCUUCACUCUUAAAGCUCAACCCUUGCAGACAGCACACAGUUGAACCUUGCUUCUGAAAUCUGGUGGUAACGUUUGCCUUCUAAGGAAAGGGUUUUUGAUAUGCUCAUAUUUAAUAUCCUCAUUGUCAUGAUUGGAGUUAGGACUCACUCUGUUCUUUUCUACCUCCUUUUGAAAUAUUUGAAUACAUUAAAGAAUUCGAUCUUAAAUCAACUAUUAGCUCUCUAUCUACUGGUAUGAUCAAAAAUAUACAGUGAAUGUUCACACUUAAAAAUUAUUGUAGUAAAAGACCACUGCCAUGAAUCCCCCUCAGAACCCCGCCUCUUGCUUGGAGCACAUUCAUCCCAUUGUCCUUGCCACUUUCUGCAGCAGCUCCAGUGUGAGAGUCCACUGUGUAAUGGUUAGCACUCUGGACUCUGCAGCAGCUCUGGAGUCCUCUGCUGAGUGUCUUUAUGAGACGUGAUCAAAAACAUGGUGAAUAGGGCUGCCAAGUGCCACCCAACAGAAAUGCAGUGUGUAUAAACAUGCUGCUGUGCUCGUCCACCUUGUUCACCAGAUCUGGCACUGUGUGACUUCUGGUUCUUCCCAAAGUCAAAAUGACCAUGAAAGGGAAAUGUUUUGAAUCCACUCAGGAGACGGAACCAGCCAGGGCAGCACAGCUAAAGACCCUCAGGAGAGAGGGCUCCAGAGCGGCUGCAGGACGCGGCCAGGAUGGCGGGAUAAAUGUGGUCGAAAUGAAGGGAGAAUUUUGAGGGGGAUUCAUGGCAAUGUGUCUUUUACUAUAAUAUAUUUUGAAGUUAUACAUUUACCAAAUUUUUUGACAUAUUGAUAUAACUGAAUCUUAAUCUUUUUUAAACAGUUGCUUGAGGGAUUUAAGUACACUAAAAUUUCAUGUUCUGCUUAGGGUUGAUAUUGUAGCACUCAGUGUAAAAUGUAGAAAGAAGCCUUGCGACAGUUGAUAACCUCUAACCUCCUCCUGCUCCUGGCUCUUGUACUUUGAUUGUCACAGAUAUUGCCUACACAGUACAAUCACAUGUCUUUCAAAUACAUUAAGGGAAAUCAUAAUACAUCUCCUUGAAUAUUAUCUCAAGUGCUCUCCACUGUAUCAGGGAGGUUUGAGGUUCCAUCUGAUAUAUUUUCCUUUCAACCUAGAGAGAUUCACUUGAGGUCUCCUCUAGGACCGGACUCACAUUGAAAGUGGCUGUUGGGACCUUGCUGCUGGGGGACCCUCUCACUGGACAGACAGGAGCUGGCUCCUGGGACUACUGCCGCUCCACACCCUCACCCUCCUCAGUCCUGGUGAGAAGUCUGCAGUCCCCUGGAUAGCUGUCCUCAGGGCAUAGUGUAGGGGACCAUGCGACGACACAAGGUCAAGAUGGCCUCUUAGCCAUGUAGAGAGUGACUCGACUGCACCCAGGCGGCCCCAGCCUCUGACUUCGAGGAAGGGGACCCAGUCACUGAGCCACCCAGCCUGGACCCUCGGCUGUGUGCCGGGUGGAGGGCACAGCGAGAUCUGCUCUCUGCAACGUCACUUCCUCCAGAGUCUGUCCUGCUCGGGGUUGGUCUUCAAGCUCCUCAGAAGAUGAUUUUUUAAAAAUGUCUUCAGGUUAUCGGUAUUUUCUGCAAGAGC